GGCCAAGUUUUUAAGGGCGCACGGUGGAUGCCUUGGCACCAGGAACCGAUGAAGGACGUGGGAGGCCACGAUAGUCCCCGGGGAGUCGUCAACCAGGCUUUGAUCCGGGGGUUUCCGAAUGGGGAAACCCGGCAGUCGUCAUGGGCUGUCACCCGCUGCUGAACACAUAGGCAGUGUGGAGGGAACGCGGGGAAGUGAAACAUCUCAGUACCCGCAGGAAGAGAAAACAACCGUGAUUCCGGGAGUAGUGGCGAGCGAAACCGGAUGAGGCCAAACCGUAUACGUGUGAGACCCGGCAGGGGUUGCGUGUACGGGGUUGUGGGAUCUCUCUUUCACAGUCUGCCGGCUGUGAGACGAGUCAGAAACCGUUGAUGUAGGCGAAGGACAUGCGAAAGGUCCGGCGUAGAGGGUAAGACCCCCGUAGUCGAAACAUCAGCGGCUCGUUUGAGAGACACCCAAGUAGCACGGGGCCCGAGAAAUCCCGUGUGAAUCUGGCGGGACCACCCGCUAAGCCUAAAUAUUCCCUGGUGACCGAUAGCGGAUAGUACCGUGAGGGAAUGGUGAAAAGUACCGCGGGAGCGGAGUGAAAUAGUACCUGAAACCGUGUGCCUACAAGCCGUGGGAGCGUCGGACGGAGAGCUUGCUCUUCGUCUCGUGACUGCGUGCCUUUUGAAGAAUGAGCCUGCGAGUUUGCGGUGUGUUGCGAGGUUAACCCGAGUGGGGUAGCCGUAGCGAAAGCGAGUCCGAACAGGGCGACUUUAGUAGCACGCUCAAGACCCGAAGCGGAGUGAUCUAGCCAUGGGCAGGUUGAAGCGGAGGUAAGACUUCGUGGAGGACCGAACCCACCAGGGUUGAAAACCUGGGGGAUGACCUGUGGUUAGGGGUGAAAGGCCAAUCAAACUCCGUGAUAGCUGGUUCUCCCCGAAAUGCAUUUAGGUGCAGCGUCGUGUGUUUCUUGCCGGAGGUAGAGCACUGGAUAGGCGAUGGGCCCUACCGGGUUACUGACCUUAGCCAAACUCCGAAUGCCGGUAAGUGAGAGCGCGGCAGUGAGACUGUGGGGGAUAAGCUCCAUGGUCGAGAGGGAAACAGCCCAGAGCAUCGACUAAGGCCCCUAAGCGUACGCUAAGUGGGAAAGGAUGUGGAGUCGCACAGACAACCAGGAGGUUGGCUUAGAAGCAGCCACCCUUGAAAGAGUGCGUAAUAGCUCACUGGUCUAGUGAUUCCGCGCCGACAAUGUAGCGGGGCUCAAGCGUACCGCCGAAGUCGUGUCAUUGCAGCAAUAGGGCCAACGCCUGCUGUGAUGGGUAGGGGAGCGUCGUGUGCCGGGUGAAGCAGCACCGGAAGGUAGUUGUGGACGGUUCACGAGUGAGAAUGCAGGCAUGAGUAGCGAUACACACGUGAGAAACGUGUGCGCCGAUUGACUAAGGGUUCCUGGGUCAAGCUGAUCUGCCCAGGGUAAGUCGGGACCUAAGGCGAGGCCGACAGGCGUAGUCGAUGGAUAACCGGUUGAUAUUCCGGUACCCGCUGUGAAGCGUCAAACAUCGAACCAGGCGAUGCUAAGUCCGUGAAGCCGUUCCGGACCCUUCGGGGAAAGGAAAGUGGUGGAGCCGACGAACCAGACUUGCAGUAGGUGAGUGAUGGGGUGACGCAGGAAGGUAGUCCAUCCCGGGCGGUGGUUGUCCCGGGGUAAGGGUGUAGGACGGUGUGUAGGCAAAUCCGCACGCCAUACAGUCUGAGACCUGAUGCCGAGCCGAUUGUGGCGAAGUGGAUGAUCCUAUGCUGUCGAGAAAAGCCUCUAGCGAGUUUCAUGGCGGCCCGUACCCUAAACCGACUCAGGUGGUCAGGUAGAGAAUACCGAGGCGUUCGGGUGAACUAUGGUUAAGGAACUCGGCAAAAUGCCCCCGUAACUUCGGGAGAAGGGGGGCCACGUCUGGUGAGGGGACUUGCUUCCCGAGCUGGGUGUGGCCGCAGAGACCAGCGAGAAGCGACUGUUUACUAAAAACACAGGUCCGUGCGAAGCCGUAAGGCGAUGUAUACGGACUGACGCCUGCCCGGUGCUGGAACGUUAAGGGGACCGGUUAGUCACUCUUCGGGGUGGCGAAGCUGAGAACUUAAGCGCCAGUAAACGGCGGUGGUAACUAUAACCAUCCUAAGGUAGCGAAAUUCCUUGUCGGGUAAGUUCCGACCUGCACGAAUGGCGUAACGACUUCUCGACUGUCUCAACCAUAGGCCCGGUGAAAUUGCACUACGAGUAAAGAUGCUCGUUUCGCGCAGCAGGACGGAAAGACCCCGGGACCUUUACUACAGUUUGAUAUUGGUGUUCGGUUCGGCUUGUGUAGGAUAGGUGGGAGACUUUGAAGC
rnacentral:rRNA from 1 species